UAGAGGUCAAAAUACAAUUUUAAAAAAAUAUGUCACAUAGGAUUCGCCUUGUCAGCAGCCCCGACGAACUAGAGCACACCGCGUGGCAAUGCACGCUGACUCGGUUCUACGAAGGAGGUCAUGCUUGCAAUCCGCGUGCCCGCGAUCGGACAGUUCGAAUUUAUUCCUGUGCUCGUGGACGGUCCAGAUCCGUUCCUUUUUAGGCGCGAUCGGACAGUCAU
rnacentral:lncRNA from 1 species